rnacentral:rRNA from 1 species
AACGCGAAGAACCUUACCUGGUCUUGACAUCCCUCUGACAGGCGGGUAAAGCCGCCCUCCCUCCGGGGCAGGGGAGACAGGUGGUGCAUGGUUGUCGUCAGCUCGUGUCGUGAGAUGUUGGGUUAAGUCCCGCAACGAGCGCAACCCCUAUCCCCAGUAGCCAGCACGUAAAGGUGGGCACUCUGUGGAGACUGCCAGGGACAGCCUGGAGGAAGGUGGGGAUGACGUCAAAUCAUCAUGCCCCUUAUGAUCAGGGCUACACACGUGCUACAAUGGCGUAAACAAAGGGAGGCAGCCCCGCGAGGGUGAGCGAAUCCCAAAAAUAACGUCCCAGUUCGGAUUGUAGUCUGCAACUCGACUGCAUGAAGCUGGAAUCGCUAGUAAUCGCGGAUCAGAAUGCCGCGGUGAAUACGUUCCCGGGUCUUGUACACACCG